AACGAACGCUGGCGGCAUGCCUAACACAUGCAAGUCGAACGAGACCUUCGGGUCUAGUGGCGCACGGGUGCGUAACGCGUGGGAACCUGCCCUUAGGUUCGGAAUAACUCCCCGAAAGGGGUGCUAAGACCGGAUAAUGUCUUCGGACCAAAGAUUUAUCGCCUUUGGAUGGGCCCGCGUUGGAUUAGCUAGGUGGUAGGGUAAAAGCCUACCAAGGCGACGAUCCAUAGCUGGUCUGAGAGGAUGAUCAGCCACACUGGGACUGAGACACGGCCCAGACUCCUACGGGAGGCAGCAGUGGGGAAUAUUGGAGAAUGGGCGAAAGCCUGAUCCAGCAAUGCCGCGUGAGUGAUGAAGGCCUUAGGGUUGUAAAGCUCUUUUACCCGGGAUGAUAAUGACAGUACCGGGAGAAUAAGCUCCGGCUAACUCCGUG
rnacentral:rRNA from 1 species